CUAGGAUGAACGCUAGCGACAGGCCUAACACAUGCAAGUCGAGGGCAGCACAAGGAGCAAUCUGAGGUGGCGACCGGCGCACGGUGAGUAACACGUAUGCAACCUGCCUGUAAGCGGGGAAUAACCCGUUGAAAGACGGACUAAUACCGCAUAAUACUAAAUUACUGCAUGGUAAUUUAUUUAAACAUUUAUGGCUUACAGAUGGGCAUGCGCAUGAUUAGCUAGUUGGAGAGGUAACGGCUCCCCAAGGCAACGAUCAUUAGGGGUCUGAGAGGAAGGUCCCCCACACUGGUACUGAGACACGGACCAGACUCCUACGGGAGGCAGCAGUGAGGAAUAUUGGUCAAUGGACGAGAGUCUGAACCAGCCAAGUCGCGUGCAGGAAGAAUGUUCCCUAUGGAUUGUAAACUGCUUUUGCAGGGGAAUAAAGUGCAUCACGUGUGAUGUUUUGUAUGUACUCUGCGAAUAAGGAUCGGCUAACUCCGUGCCAGCCGCCGC
rnacentral:rRNA from 1 species